CCCUUAGAUGUUCUGGGCCGCACGCGCGCUACACUGUUCGACGCAGCGAGUCUUAACCUUGACCGAAAGGUUUGGGUAAUCUUCAGCAAAGUCGAACGUGAUGGGGAUCGAUCAUUGCAAUUAUUGAUCGUGAACGAGGAAUUCCUAGUAAGUGCAAGUCGUCAGCUUGCGCUGAUUACGUCCCUGCCCUUUGUACACACCGCCCGUCGCUACUACCGAUUGAAUGGUUUAGUGAGAUCUCUGGAUUGACGCUGGCUAGGGGGCGACCCUUGGCCAGACUGUUGAGAAACUGCUCAAACUUGAUCAUUUAGAGGAAGUAAAAGUCGUAACA
rnacentral:rRNA from 1 species